AUGUUUGUUUUUCAAGUGGAGACCAAGGUGGAGGACAGGCAACCAACAGCCAGCCAGGAAACUGAGCAGCCCUCAGUGCCCGUGCACACAGGUGAAGAGGAGCAGGGCUCCAUGGCAGAGGUGUCCUACUACUCCUAUGAAUACGACCCAGAUUCUCAUCCUUUCCUUGCUGAUGCAGAGGCAGGGGACCAUUUCUACCUUCCUGAAGGAGGGGCGGACGUAGAGCAGAAGGUGCUCCUGCCAGCAGACACCCAGCUACCCACACUGGACACAAAAAACACCCCAGAGCGAUGAAGCCUUCACAGAGUGAAACCAUCCCCACCUCCAAAUUGUACAUUAUUUGUGAAUAUGCUAGUGAAUGGAAAGAGAAGAGAGACUUGGGACUUGCUCAGCCUGGAGGGAAGAGACGGCGGCCUGGAGAACGAGAGUGUGACUUUGUGUGCGUGCGUGCGUGCGUGCGUGCGUGCGUGUGUGUGUGUGUGUGUUGUCAAGUGUUUAGAUUGUUCUGAAUGGUAGAGCAGGUGCUUUUAUAUGUAUGCGUGUGUGGUUGGAUGUGACUGUGCAUGAUUGUAAUUAAGAGAGUGUCCUCCAGACUUUUAUUUUUCUUCCUCCUGACUCCUGGUCACCAAUAGGGCACCAUAGCAUCUUUGUUAUUUACUGUACCGCCUUUAUAAUCACUAGAAGAAAUAAUCAAGUAUUUAUGUUUGUAAUUACACCUGACCUUAAGCAAAAUAUUUUGUUAUAUUUUCUAUCUGUGGUAUUUAUUUGUAGCUGGAGGUCAUAUCAUCUGUUUUUGUUUUUUGCCCACACAGUCGACUUUUUUGCCCUUGUGCUUCUUUCAGUUCAAACAAGAGAUACAGUUUGUGCUAUCAAAGGCAUUUUUUGUUUUCAUAGCGAGCUUUAACCCAAUUUUUUCAAAUGUUUGAUGAAAUUCUGGUGCUGGUAUCCUGCUGGAAGAAGACAUAUGCUAACCAUAUGCUUUACAGAAUCAUAAGCUGGAAUGUUUUUGAGAUUUUGGGGCUUUUUUGCCUUAAACAGCACAUUAGAGAUUGACAGGAAACGUGAGGAGAGAGAGGCGGGGUGGGCCGACAUGCAACAAAGGCCUCUGGCCGACUCAGACUAUGGACUUUACAGUUACAGGAGAUACGUCCUUUGACCAGUGGUGCAACAGGACACACCAGGUGAAAUGUUUUUGAAACUAUGGUAUCAAGACACGAACAUCACCUCCUCUCAAGUCACCUUUCACCUUACCUACCUUGAGAUUUGAUUGUACAGUUCAUAAGCUAUUGUGUGUUUUUUUUCUUUCCUUUUGUGUUCAAUUUUGAUUUGUGAAGCAAUCAACUUAAAAAAAUCAAGAAUGAAGUUAAAAUAAAUUGGUGUAAAUGUACCAAAUUUGAUCAAGCGUAGCCCUGAUUCAUAUCAAACAUUGUGCUUUUUAAGACAAACGGGAAUAAAUUUGUAUACAAUCCAGGCCGUUUGAUUUUGUUGUAUUUACACUGUGAAUAAGAAGAAAAGACUUGAUGCCUGAACAGUAAUAUGUGUUACCUGCUGCGCUUUGUAUGACUGCAGGACUGUAGGAGUGAAAUACCUUAACCCCGACUACUUUUACCCCCACAGUGCCAUUUCUGCAGAUGCAGCACAGCACAUGUGAGUGUUCCUCUAUAGCAGAGGAGCUCCAGUGACGUUCGUGAAGGCUGCGUUGCUCCAUUUCCUUUGAGAGGCUAGUUAAGUCUGGAGAUAAUUUCCUGCCAGCAGUGAGCCGCAUUACAAUCCUGCUGCUUCAGAAGGCCCUUUGCUUUGAUAGCUGACUCCCUGACCCCUGGCAGGAUGCUAUGUCAGAGACAGAA
ensembl:lncRNA